GUCUUUUUGGUAAAAUAUAAAGUCCAAUCUGCUCACUGAGUAUUUAAAGAGCCGCAGUAUACUGACUGUGCAAAGGUAGCAUAAUCAAUAGUCUUUUAAUUGAAAACUUGUAUGAAAGAUUAGACGAGAAAUUUAUUUUCUUUAAUUUAAUAAAUUUAAUUUUAAUUUUGAGUGAAAAUGCUUAGAUAAUUUUAAUAGACGAGAAGACCCUAUAGAUUUUUAUUAUUUAAUUGAAUUUCAUAUUUUAAUUUAUGUAGAUAAUUUAAUUGGGGCGAUUUUGUAAUAUGAAAAACUUAAUUUUAUAAUACCAUAAAUAAUUGAAUUUUUUGAUCUAAAAAUUUUAAAGAAAAGAUUAAAUUACCUUAGGGAUAACAGCGUAAUUUUAUUUAAGAGUUCAUAUCUAUAAUAAAGUUUGCGACCUCGAUGUUGAAUUAAGAUAAUAUAUUGGAGUAGAAAUUAAUAUAAUUAGUCUGUUCGACUAUUAAAUUCU
rnacentral:rRNA from 1 species